rnacentral:tRNA from 2 species
GGCGAGGUAGCUCAGAUGGUUAGAGCGCAGGAUUCAUAACCCUGAGGUCACGGGUUCGACUCCCGUCCUCGCUACCA